GCUGAGCUGAGCUCAAGUGUCUGUGCCUGGGAGGGGCUGGGCCGGAAUGGGCACCACGCAAGCCUGCAGCAGAGGGCCAAAGGGCUGCCCGGCCUCAGCCCGAAGCUCCCAGAAAGCACCGAGCACAGAGGGUCCCUCCUGCCCCUCCCCUGAACCCCUGUGCCUCUGACAGUUCCCAGGCUCACUCCACCCAGAGGCCCCAGCCCCGUGGAAAGACCCCCGGAAGCCCCUACGGACACCUGGCGGCAGAGACUGGUGCCCUCCCAGGCCUACUUGUCAGUCAAUCUCGGGCCCAGCUCCUGUCACCUCUGUCCCCUGAAGGACUCAGAUCGCUGUGUGUAUUAACUUAGAAUUGUUUCCUCGAGUCCUUGGCAAAGACUUGAACCGACAUGUUCACUGGGAGGAAGUGCGUCUCAUCUUCCGGUGCAUCUGUGCCGAACGGCUCCGCCCUCCGGGCCUAGCUUCCUGUGCAGCAGACGAGGGAGUGCUGGGGACCCUGUCCCACGCCUUCACCUGUGGAAGACUAAAUCCCCCGCGUGAUGGCAUUUGGAGGUCGGGCCUCUGGGGAGGUGAUCAGGUCAUGACGGUGGAGCUCUCUGGGAAGGAUCAAUGCCCUUACAAGAGGAGGCCAGAGAGCGCUGGCUUCCUCUCCCUGCUCUCCACCAUGGGAGGUUACAGGAGAAAAUCUCUGUCUAUAAACCAGGAAGCGGGUCCUCACCGGACACCGGGGGAUCUCAGACUCCCAGCCUCCAGAAUUGCGAGAAAUAAAUGCUCCUUCUUUAAGUCGAGGGUAUUCUGGCAUAGCAACCCAAGCGAAGACACAGAGUUGCAGUCUCCUUAGGAAGUCCAGACAUUUUCAGGUUAAACCUUUUUUAAGAAGUGUGUUCCUAUGGCAAGUUUGAAAUGGAUUUUUUUUCUCUCUCUCUUCUUUUUUCAGCUAUUUCUGGUCUAUAGUAAAAAUACUGAAAAACAGAUAUAGCUAUAGAUCUUAUGUAUCAGCAGCUAUAGAUUCUAUAUAUAAACAGCUAAAUAUAGCCAUAUUUACUAAGUUGUUAGGAUUUUUAAAAUACACUUUUUCUUGAGUCUUGAAUAAAUACAUUGUCUAGAAAUGAGAAUAUUUUGUGCUUCUUUGUUCGUAUUUCCUGUCUCAAGCUUUUGGCCCCCAUGAGGGAGGGCUGCCAUCUUGGUUUGUCCUCCAAGGGGCCCCGGUGAUGUGCCCAGAAGUGCAAUGUUUGGUGGUGUUGAGGAAAUUAUUAUUUAUGACCAAUACGGUGGAUCCAAUUUACUUUCCAUAUGGACUGGAAAUGUCAAAUAACCCUACACUCUCCGAGCUGUGGUUUCAUGACCCAUAAACUCAGAGAGUUGAGUUAAAAGAAAUGCUCAAAUUUUUCUUGACCCGGGAGCCAGUUUUAAACACCCCAGGGAAUGUCAAGCCUCUAAUCUAAAUCUCCAAGAACCCUGUCACUCCGUCACUCCAAGCUAUCCCUGACGACCUUUCCUUCAAAUUGUUGUUUUCACAAGAAAAUGAACCCUUUCCAGAUCACACAAACACAUCCCCUGGGGCCAGCUCUGCUGUUGCCGCUCCCG
ensembl:lncRNA